UUCGCCAUUUAUGGCCGGCGCCGCUAUUAGCCAUGGUCGGUGCCGCCCGAGCACUCUGGGCCAACCAGCUCCUCUAUGUGGAUGAUUCGGAUGGCAUUAACCUCGCCUAACCGCACCGACCACGCCCUGGCCACAUCUAAUCUCUCACUGACCCCCCGGCCACCAUGAAUGACCACAUCGUCGUGCUUAUCCAUGAAAGCUAGGGGAACCGUCAUCGUUCGCUUAUGUAAGGGUCCUUCGAGUUCUCUCAGUCCAUCAUCACCACUCUUCACUCACCUGGAAGCUCCCUAGGGCAGUCGUUCCACCCAGAGGAGUCGCAUCCCUCGCCUCCGAUGGAAAUGGCCACCGCAACCUCCCUGUUAAAUUCGUCGCACCCACAAGCUCCUACCUAGAAGUUUCUUAGCUAGUAGACUUUCCCAAUCAUCGCGAGCCCCUUCCACCUAUCAAUUGCUUUCAGGAGCGAACCAUGGACGAAGCCCCAUGCCUCACGUAGCUCCCUCCGCCAUGGUUAAGGUCCUGCUCGACCUCGAGCUCCUCGGCGCUCCCCUCUAACUCCAUCGGAUUGGGACCAUCCUCCUGAUAACCCUUGUGUCGAGCGUCGGAAAUGGCACCCCCUAGCACCGACAAUCAUCGCCGGGGCGGCCCCCCUAUUUCUCCCGAGGAGCGUGAGAGGAGGGAGACAAAUCCGACAGGUGGGUCCCAUCUUUUGGUGAGCCAACUUUUGCCACCGGUGAUGCCCUCUCGAAGGAAACGUACUCCUGUAAGUACGCCUUUAGUUAUCGAUAGCGCACUUGAGCCGAAACAUUUUCUUUAUGGAUUUUAUUUAAAAUGAGAAAGUUCCAAACAACUUUUUGCACUAUUUUUAAAUUGUGUGUCGAUUUGAAUAUUUUGAAAAUAGGAAAAUGGAGGGAAGAUCAAUUUUUCAAAGUUUUGGAGUGCAUCCAACAUUUUGACACACUCAAGGCAAGCAUGUCGAACACUGAUAUGAUAUAAGUUGAGUGUUUGUUUUCUAUGUUAAAUGAAUUCAUGACUAUGUUAAGUGAAAUAACAUCUUUGCAUAUGGAAAUUCUCAUCCAUGAAUGCAUUGAUGGAAAUCAUUUUCUGUUAAAACAUGAGAUACAUGUGAUAGUAGUUACUACCCCACGCGAUAGUUGCCUAUGCUAGUUCGGAUAAAUUUCCGAGGAAGGUUUUUGUCUCGCGAAGACAGAAUUGUGGAACUGAUAUCUCGUUGUGAUGAGGAUGAUUAGUAAAGGCAUGUUGGGGCAUGGUAGGUGGUCACUUUGUCAGGUACAACAAGGUAAAUAUGUUGUAUUAAUCAUGCAGGGAAAACAUAAACUUUCUGAGUCAGAUCGUAGAUCGAGUCUUGUUUCAGUAAUCCCCAUACUUGUUACAUACUAUCACUUUCCUUGCCACAGAUAGGGUACGGUUUAGUAGGUUGUCAACCCCUUUGUUUGCACACACCAUAUAGAGAGGCAAUAGUGAAAGAUGGCCUCUUGUAGCCCAUGUCACUUGGUCCGUGGACAUGGUUUUCUGGUUAAACCGAGGAGGUAGCGCCCCUGUUUGCGCGCGUUAUAAAUAUCUAUCACAUGCUAAUCAAAACUGUGGUCUCCCACUUAGAGUUUUACCUAACGAUUUUUGUGGGCGAUUACAAGCAUUGGGAAGUUAAGCUGGUGUGUGCGGGUCAGGUAUGUUUUCAACUCAAAGACCGUAAUCGAAAUUAAUCCACGUCUCAGGUUGACUAAAGAAAUCGGUUACUCGUGGUUAAGGAGUACACCGUGUGCAGAGUAUACCAUCUAUUCGAAUAGUCAUGUCCACGGUUAAGGACUACAGUCUGGGAUAGGUUAAGUGUCGGUCUUCAUAAGAAAUUAAUUAAACCAUGGUGUUGAUCACAAAUCAUGACGGAUGAUCUUUAUUAUCAAUUUUGUUAUGGACUAACAACCUUUUUAUAUGAAUUGUUGAGUAACCUUGGGAAAAUUAUGCCACCUCGAUACUCAUGCGAUUAUUUUCAAUAUAAGGCCUUUAUGCGGUGUUGCUUCACACGCUCGACUAUGGGAAUUCAUAUUAUUAUAUAUUUUUAUAAGCCCUUUAUGCGGUGUCGCCCGAGACGCUUGAGUGUGGCAAUUCAUUUUAUUAUUUUUCUUAUAAACCCUUUUUCGGUGUCACUCCAGACAUCUGACUGUGGCACACAUGAAUUUAUCUCUCAUAUAAUCCCUUCAUGUGGCGUCGCUCAAACGUCCGAUUGAGGCAUGUUCUGCAUUUUCCUUUCGAGGCAUCGCCUGAGACACCCGAUUGGCACAUUCUAUUUUCUUGGAAUCCUUGAGAGUACUACCGCCCGAUGUUCAAUUUCCAUUUUAAUUUCCUUGAUUAUUUAUUUACUCCCACUAUGGAUAAACUAUAUGCAUACUCACAUUUAUGAAUUAGUCUUAAGGCAUUAUGAAUAUGAGUGCAAGCAAUUCACUUGUUGUAUUACGCUUGUUUUCAUGAUGUUUGCGAGUACAUUCAAAUGUACUCACUAGCUUAUCCCUGGCUAUUGUCUUGGCUAGCUUGCGUAUUUGAAGAGGAACAAUAUGACGACAACCCUGCAACCUAGGCAUUGAAGAUAGCAGCUUCGCGAGAUAGGAAUUUUCCACGUCAACUCUUCCUGUGGGGAUCGAGUCCCAUAGAUGUUGGAGUUCCACGAGGUGCUACUGCCAUCAGCCACUAGAAAUCUUUGUUGUACUCCAUGGACCAUCAUGGUCUUGUACUCCAAACUAUGUAAUUGCUUGGAAAUUAUGUAUCAAGGAAGUGUCCACUAGUUAACAGUAAUCCUGGCGCUGGUGAGCAUGAGGGUAAUUUGUUGGGAGUUUUGUAUACCGGAAAACCGACCCUCACAAUUUUGAUAUCAGAGCCUGGCUGAUCAUUGGCUAAGUCUAUCUUAGCCGGGUCAAUAACCAGACCGACCUAGAUCGCCAGCGGAGACCAUGAGGCAAACCUUACACUGUUGCAUCUUGUGCGCUACCUAAGAGCACAAGAGGCACUCUGCGAUCACGUCACCCUCGACCUAAUUGUGGCCCGACAAGUGCUUGCACACCAGGCCCCGAGGAGAAAUGAAGCUGCACCUGAUGCCAACAACCCAGUAGUGUUGUUCGGAAGACCGAUCGAACUCUUGAGAUAUAUCCCUAUUGCUGACUUGAGAAAUGCGUUCGUCUCCUCAAAAGAGCUCCAUCGUAUCUUGGGGAUUUUCUCCAACGGGACUGUAGCCACUACACCCCGUGAUGGCCAUCAUCGCUACCCCAACCAUGUAGCUCCGGAUCCUACCCGAGUCAACCUCACCACUGAAGCCCAAGGAGAAGCCUCAACGUUCAUGAGACCCGCUCUACUAGAUGUCAACGAAGUAGGCUGAGCUCACCCGAGUAGUACCCAACCUUAGUAUUCCUACGCCAUGUAAUAUUGUGAUCUUGUAUUGCCAUAAAUAAAUUGCAGGCUGUUUGUAUGCCAUUAUUUUAAUGGAACCACAUGAAUCUUUUGGCGUUUGGUUGCGGAGUAAGUUCUGGGUGUAACUGCUAGAAACCACCCUAGCCGACGGCGAGAACAAUACGUCACAUUUUUUUAUUUAUAUCCGCGACAUUGACCCGACCACUCUAGAACAGGG
rnacentral:lncRNA from 1 species